rnacentral:lncRNA from 1 species
CUGAGUGUGGAUAAGGGGAAGGUCCAUGCUGGGUGUGUAUGGGUCGUGCCACUCAAAGGGUGGAUAGCCUGGAUGGAUAUAAAGGGACAGAAAGAAGGCAGGCAUGCUGCUGCUUCUUUGCUACUUUGCUGCCUUCUGCUUGCCAUGAUCUAUUUCUUCUCUGCAGUGCUGUUCUGCCGUGCCGCCCUGCCUUGGGGACAGCCAACUACGAACCGAAACCUCUACGAACUGAGCUACAGUAAGCCUUUCCUCCUUUAGCUUCAGAUGUUAGGUAUUUUGUCUCAGCAACACAAAAGUAACUGAGAUGCUUUCUUUCCUGGGAAGCUCUAAGUUUUACCAAUGCUCCACACACAGGUGAUGGUUUACCUGAGCCCACACAGGUGUUCGCUGAAGGGAUGGAUCCAGUGCUUUCUGCUAACCACUGUUCAACGGCAUCAUGUUUGGGUAUCUCGUUGACCUUUCUCUCAAGCUGUUAUUCUCAGGUGCAAUAAAACUCCUAAGGACACAAUCAAUGCAACAGAUUUCUAAAGGACCAUACAUCUCCAAGAGUGUCUGUCAUCCGUGGACGUCAGCACAAGGAGCAACUAUUCUAUUGUGCUUUGAGGAAUUUUUUAAGAACUUAAACCAUUUAGGAAUUAGGAAAACUACAUCAUUUGUUUUCCAUCUGUCUACAUCAACUGAGGCCAGGGUCAGGGAGAAAGCAGAAAGGAGUCCUUGA